AACCUGCAUUACAAUGUUCAGCUCAUUACAAGUCAUGACAAAGCCCCGUUGGAACCAAAGAGGACUGACGCUCUUUAUAUGCCCAGAAGCUGUUCCCAUUAGUUGUCUUUCCCUGCAACAGGCCAGUGCUAACAUAACCAGAGAAUGAAACUUUGAAGAUUCUAGGGAUUUCAUUUUUUGUGUAUUGAGGAGACGGGAGACAUGUGUGUGAUUGCGGAGGUCACGGCACAGCACGUGGAGAAGGCACAAGAGCAAAAGACCACAAGAGCCUCACGAUUACUGUGUGGCUCAGUCAUACCAGGGUUAACUCAUCAGCUCUGAAGUCUUGGUGGCUCAACCAAUGCUUUUCCCUCUCCUGCUGUAUUCCAAUAUAGUUUUGUGUGUGGAGAGAGGUGGUAUGAGAUGUUUCUAACCAUGGAAAUAACCAACAUGGCCGCUACCAUAUGGAAAAAACACAGACGAGGAACUCACACCUCUUCUGUGCUUUGACCUAAAAGUGACCCAUGCCAGUUCUGCUCACAACCCAUUGUCCAGAGCCAGUCACAUGCUCUGCUGUAUUCAAAGAGGGCUGGGACAUGAACAUUUGACAAACACUACAAUUCUGUCCUAAUCAAGCAGAGAAAGAGUCCAACCCAAGACUCUUCAAUUCCCACUCAUGUCAAUUAAAAUAAUUUGGAAAUAAAUAUUAAGCGGAGACAACUCUAUUUUUAAAUUAAAUGCAAGAUGAAUUAACUUUUGGUCACCCAAUCUCCCUCCUUUUAAGUACUGGUUUACUCUGACUAGCUUUUGAUUCUAUAUAUCAGUUCAGGUGUCAGUUUGAGUGGAAAGUAUUAUUAUUCUCUAUACAAGAAAAUUCAACUAUUGGAGCCAUAGUUCACCUGAGUCACAAUGGAAAAUGGUAUCAUUUUGAAUGAAUAUGAAUGAAUUCUUCCAUAGAUCCGUUGCCAAAGUAAACUGGAGUUUGGCUGUGUAAUAGGUCAGUUGUCUCUCAAAUGGAUGCAUGCAUAUUUAAUAUACAGAUUGAUAUUUACUCAUUCAUUAGAUCUGCACAUCAGUGUCUCUCAUCAUAUAUGAUUUGAGAAGAAAUCCUAGAAAAAGAGCGGGACCUCCAUAUCAGGGAGAGGUUGAGGAUGAUGACAUUGUUUAUUUAUUUGCAUUCUGUUACGUCUUCUAAAUGAGAACAUGUUCAAGUUUAUAUGGAUUUGAACAAAUUUGUUUUUUCUUAGACUUUCUAUUUUCUGCUUACAUCAUCCAUGUUUUCUUGCAUGUUGUCCACCUUUUCCAUUAGAGCCUUUAACAUAUUGUACUAUUUUUAAAUUCUCUGACAGUUCCAAACACUAGGUCAUAGCUUAGUCUGGUUCUGAUGAUUAUUUUGUCUCUUGAGCCUGUGUUGUAUUUUUUUUUCACUGCCUUUUAGUAUGCCUGGAAUUGCUUUUUA